UACAGUACUGUACUGUACAGUACAGUACAGUACAGUACUGAAGGUAAUGAAGCAAAGAAACUUUUGUACAGUACAGUACUGUACAGUACAGUACUGUACAGUACUGAAGGUAAUGAAGCAAAGAAACUUUUGUACAGUACAGUACUGUACUGUACAGUACAGUACAGUACUGAAGGUAAUGAAGCAAAGAAACUUUUGUACAGUACAGUACUGUACAGUAGUGUACUGUGCUGUACUGCCCUUAUUGUGGCCAUUUCCAAAUUUCCAAAAAGGAGGACAUUUUUUAAAUUAUUAUGACACUUAUUUUUAACCUAAAUUAAACAUGUUUAAAGAUGAGUUGAAAUAUAAAAAGUUGUAUAAAAUAUACUUAGUAGUGUUGAUUUGUCAAAUAUCACUAUAAUGUAAUGAAGACUACUUUGUGGUUUUUCUAAAAUUUCAAUUUUUUUAAAGGCACUGUAUAUGUUACAUACAUGAUACAUGCAUUCAUACAGUGUAAAUAAAGAACUGAAACAAA